CAUUAGGGGUUUAAACCCUAAACUAAAUUUUUCCUUUAGUCAGCAUUAGGGUUUUAAACCCUAAACUGAACUUUUUCCUUUCAGCCAGCAUUAGGGUUUUAAACCCUAAACUGAGCUUUUCCAUGUAAUCAGCAUUAGGGUUUUAAACCCUAAAAUGAAUUAUCCUUUUAGUCAGCAUUAGGGUUUUAAACCCUAAACUAAACUUUUCCUUCCAGUCAGCAUUAGGGUUUUAAACCCUAAACUGAACUUUUUCUUUCAGUCAGCAUUAGGGUUUUAAACCCUAAACUGAACUUUUUCUUUCAGUCAGCAUUAGGGUUUUAAAACCUAAAUUGAACUUUUCCUUUUAGUCAGCAUUAGGGUUUUAAACCCUAAACUGAACUUUUUCCUUUCAGCCAGCAUUAGGGUUUUAAACCCUAAACUGAGCUUUUCCAUGCAAUCAGCAUUAGAGUUUUAAACCCUAAACUGAACUUUUCCUUUUAGUCAACAUUAGGGUUUUAAACCCUAAACUGAACUUUUUCCUUUCAGCCAGCAUUAGGGUUUUAGACCCUAAACUGAGCUUUUCCAUGCAAUCAGCAUUAGGGUUUUAAACCCUAAACUGAAUUUUCCUUUUAGUCAGCAUUAGGGUUUUAAACCCUAAACUGAACUUUUUCCAUUCAGCCAGCAUUAGGGUUUUAAACCCUAAACUGAGCUUUUCCAUGCAAUCAGCAUUAGGGUUUUAAACCCUAAACUGAAUUUUUCCUUUUAGUCAGCAUUAGGGUUUUAAACCCUAAACUGAACUUUUUCCUUUCAGCCAGCAUUAGGGUUUUAAACCCUAAACUGAGCUUUUCCAUGCAAUCAGCAUUAGGGUUUUAAACCCUAAACUGAACUUUUUCCAUUCAGCCAGCAUUAGGGUUUUAAACCCUAAACUGAGCUUUUCCAUGCAAUCAGCAAUAGGGUUUUAAACCCUAAACUGAAUUUUUCUUUUAGUCAGCAUUAGGGUUUUAAACCCUAAACUGAACUUUUCCUUUCAGCCAGCAUUAGGGUUUUAAAACCCUAAACUGAGCUUUUCCACGUAAUCAGCAUUAGGGUUUUAAACCCCUAAACUGAAUUUUCCUUUUAGUUAGCAUUAGGGUUUUAAACCCUAAACUGAACUUUCCCUUUCAGUCAGCAUUAGGGUUUUAAACCCUAAACUGAAAUUUUCCUUUUAGUCAGCAUUAGGGUUUUAAACCCUAAACUGAACUUUUUCCUUUCAGCCAGUAUUAGGGUUUUAAACCCUAAACUGAGCUUUUCCAUGCAAUCAACAUUAGUGUUUUAAACCCUAAACUAAAUUUUCCUUUUAGUCAGCAUUAGGGUUUUAAACCCUAAACUGAACCUUUUCCAUUCAGCCAGCAUUAGGGUUUUAAACCCUAAACUAAGCUUUUCCAUGUAAUCAGCAUUAGGGUUUUAAACCCUAAAAUGAAUUAUCCUUUUAGUCAGCAUUAGGGUUUUAAACCCUAAACUGAACUUUUCCUUCCAGUCAGCAUUAGGGUUUUAAACCCUAAACUGAACUUUUUCUUUCAGUCAGCAUUAGGGAUUUAAACCCUAAACUGAACUUUUUCUUUCAGUCAGCAUUAGGGUUAUAAACCCUAAACUGAAUUUUCCUUUUAGUCAGCAUUAGAGUUUUAAACCCUAAACUGAACUUUUUCCAUUCAGCCAGCAUUAGGGUUUUAAACCCUAAACUGAGCUUUUCCAUGCAAUCAGCAUUAGGGUUUUAAACCCUAAACUGAACGUUUUCCUUUCAGCCAGCAUUAGGGUUUUAAACCCUAAACUGAAUUUUCCUUUUAGUCAGCAUUAGGGUUUUAAACCCUAAACUGAACUUUUCCUUCCAGUCAGCAUUAGGGUUUAAAACCCUAAACUGAACUUUCCCUUUUAGUCAGCAUUAGGGUUUUAAACCCUAAACUGAACUUUUUCCAUUCAGCCAGUAUUAGGGUUUAAAACCCUAAACUGAACUUUUUCUUUCAGUCGGCAUUAGGGUCUUAAACCCUAAACUGAAUUUUCCUUUUAGUUAGCAUUAGGGUUUUAAACCCUAAACUGAACUUUUUCCAUUCAGCCAGCAUUAGGGUUUUAAACCCUAAACUGAGCUUUUCCAUGCAAUCAGCAUUAGAGUUUUAAACACUAAACUGAAUUUUCCUUUUAGUCAGCAUUAGGGUUUUAAACCCUAAACUGAACUUUUCCUUUCAGCCAGCACUAGGGUUUUAAAACCCUAAACUGAGCUUUUCCAUGUAAUCAGCAUUAGGGUUUUAAACCGUAAACUGAAUUUUCCAUGCAAUCAGCAUUAGGGUUUUAAACCCUAAACUGAACGUUUUCCUUUCAGCCAGCAUUAGGGUUUUAAACCCUAAACUGAGCUUUUCCAUGCAAUCAGCAUUAGGGUUUUAAACCCUAAACUGAAUUUUCCUUUUAGUUAGCAUUAGGGUUUUAAACCCUAAACCGAAUUUUCCUUUUAGUCAGCAUUAGGGUUUUAAACCCUAAACUGAACUUUUCCUUCCAGCCAGCAUUAGGGUUUAAACCCUAAACUGAACUUUUCCUUUUAGUCAGCAUUAGGGUUUUAAACCCUAAACUGAGCUUUUCCAUGCAAUCAGCAUUAGGGUUUUAAACCCUAAACUGAAUUUUCCUUUUAGUCAGCACUAGUGUUUUAAACCCUAAACUGUAACUUUUUCCUUUCAGCCAGCAUUAAGGUUUUAAACCCUAAACUGAGCUUUUCCUUCAGUCAGCAUUAGGGUUUAAACCCUAAACUGAACUUUCCCUUUAGUCAGCAUUAGGGUUUUAAACCCUAAACUGAACUUUUUCCAUUCAGCCAGCAUUAGGGUUUUAAACCCUAAACUGAGCUUUUCCCUUCAGUCAGCAUUAGGGUUUUAAACCCUAAACUGAACUUUCCCUUUAGUCAGCGUUAGGGUUUUAAACCCUAAACUGAACUUUUUUCAUUUCAGCCAGCAUUAGGGUUUUAAACCCUAAACUGAGCUUUUCAAUGUAAUCAGCAUUAGGGUUUUAAACCCUAAACUGAAUUUUCCUUUAGUCAGCAUUAGGGUUUUAAAUCCUAAAACUGAAUUUUUCAUUUCAGCCAGCAUUAGGGUUUUAAACCCUAAACUGAGCUUUUCCAUGCAAUCAGCAUUAGGGUUUUAAACCCUAAACUGAAUUUUCCUUUAGUCAGCAUUAGGGUUUUAAACCCUAAACUGAACUUUUUCCAUUCAGCCAGCAUUAGAGUUUUAAACCCUAAACUGAGCUUUUCCAUGCAAUCAGCAUUAGGGUUUUAAACCCUAAACUGAAUUUUCCUUUUAGUCAGCAUUAGGGUUUUAAACCCUAAACUGAACUUUUCCUUUCAGCCAGCAUUAUGGUUUUAAAACCCUAAACUGAGCUUUUCCAUGUAAUCAGCAUUAGUGUUUUAAACCCUAAACUGAAUUUUCCUUUUAGUCAGCAUUAGGGUUUUAAACCCUAAACUAAACUUUUCCUUUCAGCCAGCAUUAGGGUUUUAAAACCCUAAACUGAGCUUUUUCAUGUAAUCAGCAUUAGGGUUUUAAACCCUAAACUGAAUUUUCCUUUUAGUUAGCAUUAGGGUUUUAAACCCUAAACUGAACUUUUCCUUUCAGCCAGCAUUAGGGUUUUAAAACCCUAAACUGAGCUUUUCCAUGUAAUCAGCAUUAGGGUUUUAAACCCUAAACUGAAUUUUCCUUUUAGUCAGCAUUAGGGUUUUAAACCCUAAACUGAGCUUUUCCAUGCAAUCAGCGUUAGGGUUUUAAACCCUAAACUGAAUUUUCCUUUUAGUCAGCAUUAGGGUUUUAAACCCUAAACUGAGCUUUUCCAUGUAAUCAGUAUUAGGGUUUUAAACCCUAAACUGAAUUUUCCUUUUAGUCAGCAUUAGGGUUUUAAACCCUAAACUGAACUUUUUCCAUUCAGCCAGCAUUAGGGUUUUAAACCCUAAACUGAGCUUUUCCAUGUAAUCAGCAUUAGGGUUUUAAACCCUAAAAUGAAUUUUCCUUUUAGUCAGCAUUAGGGUUUUAAACCCUAAAUUGAACUUUUCCUUCCAGUCAGCAUUAGGGUUUUAAACCCUAAACUGAACUUUUUCUUUCAGUCAGCAUUAGGGUUUUAAACCCUAAACUGAACUUUUUCUUUCAGUCAGCAUUAGGGUUUUAAACUCUAAACUGAGCUUUUCCAUGCAAUCAGCAUUAGGGUUUUAAACCCUAAACUGAACUUUUUCCAUUCAGCCAGCAUUAGGGUUUUAAACCCUAAACUGAGCUUUUCCAUGCAAUCAACAUUAGGGUUUUAAACCCUAAACUGAAUUUUCCUUUUAGUCAGCAUUAGGGUUUUAAACCCUAAACUGAGCUUUUCCAUGUAAUCAGUAUUAGGGUUUUAAACCCUAAACUGAAUUUACCUUUUAGUCAGCAUUAGGGUUUUAAACCCUAAAUUGAGCUUUUCCAUGUAAUCAGCAUUAGGGUUUUAAACCCUAAACUGAACUUUUUCUUUCAGUCAGCAUUAGGGUUUUAAACCCUAAACUGAACUUUUUCCAUUCAGCCAGCAUUAGGGUUUUAAACCCUAAACUGAGCUUUUCCAUGCAAUCAGCAUUAGGGUUUUAAACCCUAAACUGAAUUUUCCUUUUAGUCAGCAUUAGGGUUUUAAACCCUAAACUGAACUUUUCCUUUCAGCCAGCAUUAUGGUUUUAAACCCCUAAACUGAGCUUUUCCAUGUAAUCAGCAUUAGGGUUUUAAACCCUAAACUAAAUUUUCCUUUUAGUUAGCAUUAGGAUUUUAAACCCUAAACUGAAUUUUCCUUUUAGUCAGCAUUAGGGUUUUAAACCCUAAACUGAACUUUUCCUUCCAGUCAGUAUUAGGGUUUUAAACCCUAAACUGAACUUUCCCUUUUAGUCAGCAUUAGGGUUUUAAACCCUAAACUGAACUUUUUUCAUUCAGCCAGCAUUAGGGUUUUAAACCCUAAACUGAAUUUUCCUUUUAGUCAGCAUUAGGGUUUUAAACCCUAAACUGAAUUUUUCCUUUAGUAAACAUUAGGGUUUUAAACCCUAAAUUGAGCUUUUUCCAUGUAAUCAGCAUUAGGGUUUUAAACCCUAAACUGAAUUUUCCUUUUAGUCAGCAUUAGGGUUUUAAACCCUAAACUGAAUUUUUCCUUUAGUCAGCAUUAGGGUUUUAAACCCUAAACUGAACUUUUUCCAUUCAGCCAGCAUUAGGAUUUUAAACCCUAAACUGAGCUUUUCCAUGCAAUCAGCAUUAGGGUUUUAAACCCUAAACUGAAUUUUCCAUUCAUCCAGCAUUAGGGUUUUAAACCCUAAACUGAGCUUUUCCAUGUAAUCAGCAUUAGGGUUUUAAACCCUAAACUGAGCUUUUUCUUUCAGGCUGCAUUAGAGUUUUAAACCCUAAACUGAACUUUUUCUUUCAGUCAGCAUUAGGGUUUUAAACCCUAAACUGAACUUUUCCUUUUAGUCAGCAUUAGGGUUUUAAACCCUAAACUGAACUUUUUCCUUUCAGCCAGCAUUAGGGUUUUAAACCCUAAACUUAGCUUUUCCAUGCAAUCAGCAUUAGGGUUUUAAACCCUAAACUGAACUUUUCCUUCCAGUCAGCAUUAGGGUUUUAAAUCCUAAACUGAACUUUUUCUUUCAGUCAGCAUUAGGGUUUUAAACCCUAAACUAAACUUUUUUUUUCAGUCAGUAUUAGGGUUUUAAACCCUAAACUGAACUUUUCCUUUUAGUCAGCAUUAGGGUUUUAAACCUAAACUGAACUUUUUCCUUUCAGCCAGCAUUAGGGUUUUAAACCCUAAACUGAGCUUUUCCAUGCAAUCAACAUUAGGGUUUUUGAACCCUAAACUGAAUUUUCCUUUUAGUCAGCAUUAAGGUUUUAAACCCUAAACUGAACUUUUCCUUUCAGCCAGCAUUAUGGUUUUAAAACCCUAAACUGAGCUUUUCCAUGUAAUCAGCAUUAGAGUUUUAAACCCUAAACUGAAUUUUCCUUUUAGUUAGCAUUAGGAUUUUAAACCCUAAACUGAAUUUUCCUUUUAGUCAGCAUUA
rnacentral:lncRNA from 1 species